GAUGAACGCUGGCGGCGUGCUUAACACAUGCAAGUCGAACGGAAAGGCCCAAGCUUGCUUGGGUACUCGAGUGGCGAACGGGUGAGUAACACGUGGGUGAUCUGCCCUGCACUUCGUGAUAAGCCUGGGAAACUGGGUCUAAUACCGGAUAGGACGAUGGUUUGGAUGCCAUUGUGGAAAGUUUUUUCGGUGUGGGAUGAGCUCGCGGCCUAUCAGCUUGUUGGUGGGGUAAUGGCCUACCAAGGCGUCGACGGGUAGCCGGCCUGAGAGGGUGUACGGCCACAUUGGGACUGAGAUACAGCCCAGACUCCUACGGGAGGCAGCAGUGGGGAAUAUUGCACAAUGGGCGCAAGCCUGAUGCAGCGACGCCGCGUGGGGGAUGACGGCCUUCGGGUUGUAAGCUCCUUUCGCUAGGGACGAAGCGUUUUUGUGACGGUACCUGGAGAAGAAGCACCGGCUAACUACGUG
rnacentral:rRNA from 1 species